rnacentral:lncRNA from 1 species
UCACUUCAUUAUUGGCUGCACCUGCGCAAUCAUGUGAUGCGAUACAUUUUUCAAAUACGUUUUUCAAGACACAGGAGAGGUCGGGUUGAAACAUUACUGAUGUUUCACGUUAAAAAUGGCUCUAAAGAUUGAUGCUAAACAACGUUUGACAUGUUUGAACGAACGUAAAUAGAUUUUUUUUUUACUUUUCGCCGUGACUCCCCCCCCCCCCCCCCGCGCUACUUUUUAGUAGCCUACCGAAGCGCUAACAACUUGGAGUUAUUUGGACAUCAAUUAUGAACUUUGUUGAAAGAAACCACAUUUGUUGUGGACAUGGGAUUCCUGGAAGUGCCAAUGGAUGAAGAUAAUCAAAGGGCACUUCCCUUUGGCUGAGCUCUGUAAUCUGAUCCUUCUAUUGGAGAUAAUGGACUCCACUAUGCAGAUCCUGGAGUGGAGUGCCACCAAGCACGCUGCCUAAUAGUUACGAGACAGCAUCUACCCCCCAUCAUCCUCUGGCACUGUGGACAGAGGGAGCACCAAGCCCACAACACAAACAGCAGUGGGCAGACUCCUCCAGUUAAGGAGGUAUUUCCUCCUGUGCCUUCUCCCACAUUGAUAAGAGGCAUCCCAGAAGGCACCUAGGGGAUGCAAAAUGGGUCCUCAUCAGGCUCAGCUGGAGAGAACAGCCUCACAAAGACAGGAGGGCUCGCUUGAGUGGAGAGGGCUAUCAGAGGAACUGAACUGCUCAUAGAUGAUUUCUUUUUUUAACCCUUAUUUUACCAGUUCAUACUGUAUUUGGAACUGAAGAACACAUUUACCCAACAUGAACUUCAGUGCGCCAUACUAUAAUAAGGGAUUCCUCAGCCUUUUGUUGUUGACGGGCCAUAUCAUCAACAAAAGACCACAAUGUACCAUAGGAGUUACUGCAAUGACUUACCCAUGAUUGGUCCUAUAUCUCAGGAGCUGAGGAGAUCUCUGUACUAUCAAUCAGUCCUCUGAAAUGGCAGGAGGGGUUCCCUGGCCACCUCCUCCCUAAAGGGCCCACCAUGGAGGAAACCAGAGCUGCCCUAACAAUGAUGAAUGGACAUCAUUAAUGUUGUUAAUCUGUUUACCUUUUUCUCUGGAAUCUGGGAAAAUGAGGGGUCAACAACGAGAGGGAAACGUUCUUACUUCGGCACCCCAGUUCCUGCAAGCCACCCAUUUGGUCUUCAGAACAUCAACAGCCACUACAGAGUGUGCAGGGGACUCAUUAACUACACGUUGACCUGACUGUCUUCUGCACUACGUUCUACUGGAGCACUCCUGCACUACGUUCUACUGGAGCACUCCUGCACUACGUUCUACUGGAGCACUCCUGCACUACGUUCUACUGGAGCACUCCUGCACUAUGUUCUACUGGAGCACUCCUGCACUACGUUCUACUGGAGCACUCCUGCACUACGUUCUACUGGAGCACUCCUGCACUACGUUCUACUGGAGCACUCCUGCACUACGUUCUAUGGAGUUUUAGUUAGGAUUUUUUUUAAUAUCACUAUCCCAAAUUCCUUGACAAAAUAAUCAUGGACUUGUUACAUCUUCUUUAAUUCAUCUUUGAGAUUGGGAAUGGUGAUUAACUUUUCUGCUCUUAAUGGUCUCCUAGAUUAUCUGUCACUUAUCCACACAGUGCGGAGGAAGCAGCUCAUUUUCCAUUGACUACUGUGGCAGUUUUACAGGUUUAUCACCCAAAUUUAACAUGUUAAGGUUCAUUACUUGACCUGUGAACUUGGCUUAAAAUAUGUUUUGUCCUUACAGACAGUCCUUGACUUCUAUUCAUUAUUUGAAUAGUUCUUGAAAAUAAACCCCAGUCCCAUUUUACUCAAACCAAAUGUGUGAUCAGAGCAGGAAGUAGACUUUCUCACACAGACAGGCGUCAGAAUGUUUGACAUGGGACAAGAGAGCAUAAGAAUAAUAUUGAACCUCCAGCACUAUGUUUUGAGCGAAAGCACUGCAGGACCCAGGGUUGUUUCAGGGGACGACGGACAGCAUAAAGAUUAAUCUGCCUUUAGAGCACAGUCACUCUCACCACGUUUGCUUGUCCUGUCAACAUAUAUUUAUACUGCAAACAUACGGAGGGAGCUAAUUAGCUCCUAUCAGACGGUGCACCUUUAAAAACAGGCAUAUAUCAUUGGACAAGAUGGUGAGCCAGCAGAGGCAUAGCUCUGUACUGAGUGUUUGAGUCUGUCCUCUGAACAAACACAGCCCAUGCCCACUGUUGCUGUAGGAGAUGACCACUUGGGUUUUUUAGCCCUCAAUUUUCACAGGUUGUACUUAUUUUUCUUUCCUUUUAUGCAAAACGUCUGUGAAAACACACACAAAGUCCCCAGUCAUGGUUGAUGGUGCUGAUAUUUGUGAUAUUGUAAAUGUGACUGCAUUGGAUGAUUUUAGGACAUUGAUUAAUAAUAUAUUUGUUCCCUUCCUUCCAAGUCACCGACACUGUUAAUGUUUUGCCUAAUGGCGGAACUUGGUGAGAUAAUGUUCAGUCCAGAUAAUCCAUUUUGGCAGUUUGGUGAAAGUAUUCCUUUUCUAAAUACAUGUUUCCCAAGGAUUAACGUGGAGCACGUGUGGAACAUUUUAAAAAGCCCUUUUCUCCUGAAUGGGAUUCUAAAUUUAGCAACAUUCAAAGCAGCAUCCAACUAAAGUGUACGAUACACCAUUUUGAAGUGCAGAGUCUGUACUUUUAUAAAAUGUAAAAAGAAAGCGAAUCACUUAAAUUUGAUACACCCCCCAUAGAGAAAUGCAGACACAUUUGGCACCAAUAUAAUUUAUGUUUCUGAUUUUGAAUGUGUGAAUACUAAAGAUGCACAAAAGAUCUCUGAGUUACAUUUUUCCAUAAUUGUGUUCUGGCAGAUAUUGGAUUCUGGGAGUAUAUUCUGUCCAGGGUGCUGUUUAGGUAAUGAAGGGAGGAUAUUUGGAAAACUUCAGAUAAAGAUUAUUAUUGCUAUGAAGAAAGAAUAUGGCAGUCUGAACAGGAGUGGCCAGUGGUGGCCAUGAGGGUAGAAUGUAUCUCCCCUUUACGUAAAUGCAUACCUAUGGUUUCCAUGAUAUAAUCUACCUGACUCAUAUAUGC